rnacentral:lncRNA from 1 species
UUCAGCAUGUUUUUGCAGUGGCUAGUACCGGUUGUUCCUUUCCAUGUUUAGUGCUUCCUUCAGGAGUCCCAUAUUUCUUGAAGGCUUUGUUCAUUUCUUUUUACUCUUUUUUCUCUAAACUUCUCUUCUCACUUCAUUUCAUUCAUUUGAUCUUCAAUCACUGAUACCCUUUCUUCCACUUGAUUGAAUCAGCUGCUGAAGCUUGUGCAUGCAUCACGUAGUUCUCCUGCCAUGGUUUUCAGCUCCAGCCUGAUCCUUCCUCUGGAAGCUUUGUCUCAGAGGGGCACCCAGUUGUAUGAGAUGUCAGUCGACCCUUACUGGGAAGUGUCUCCCAGUUAGGCUACUCAGGGGUCAGGGACCCACUUAAGGAGGCAGUCUGUCCAUUCUCAGAUCUUCAAUAACAUUUCCUUUACAUU